AGAGUUUGAUCAUGGCUCAGAUUGAACGCUGGCGGCAGGCUUAACACAUGCAAGUCGAGCGGUAACAGAGAGUAGCUUGCUACUUUGCUGACGAGCGGCGGACGGGUGAGUAAUGCUUGGGAAUAUGCCUUUGAGUGGGGGACAACAGUUGGAAACGACUGCUAAUACCGCAUAAUGUCUACGGACCAAAGGGGGGGACGCUUCGGCACCUCUCGCUCAUAGAUUAGCCCAAGUGAGAUUAGCUAGUUGGUAAGGUAAAGGCUUACCAAGGCGACGAUCUCUAGCUGGUUUGAGAGGAUGAUCAGCCACACUGGGACUGAGACACGGCCCAGACUCCUACGGGAGGCAGCAGUGGGGAAUAUUGCACAAUGGGCGAAAGCCUGAUGCAGCCAUGCCGCGUGUGUGAAGAAGGCCUUCGGGUUGUAAAGCACUUUCAGUUGUGAGGAAAGGAGUGUAGUUAAUAACUGCAUUCUAUGACGUUAGCAACAGAAGAAGCACCGGCUAACUCCGUGCCAGCAGCCGCGGUAAUACGGAGGGUGCGAGCGUUAAUCGGAAUUACUGGGCGUAAAGCGUGCGUAGGCGGAUUGUUAAGUGAGAUGUGAAAGCCCCGGGCUCAACCUGGGAACUGCAUUUCAAACUGGCAGUCUAGAGUAUUGUAGAGGGUGGUGGAAUUUCCAGUGUAGCGGUGAAAUGCGUAGAGAUUGGAAGGAACAUCAGUGGCGAAGGCGGCCACCUGGACAAAUACUGACGCUGAGGCACGAAAGCGUGGGGAGCAAACAGGAUUAGAUACCCUGGUAGUCCACGCCGUAAACGAUGUCAACUAGCUGUCUGUAGACUUGAUCUGUGGGUAGCGAAGCUAACGCGAUAAGUUGACCGCCUGGGGAGUACGGCCGCAAGGUUAAAACUCAAAGGAAUUGACGG
rnacentral:rRNA from 1 species